AUUGAACGCUGGCGGCAUGCCUUACACAUGCAAGUCGAACGGUAACAGGUCUUCGGAUGCUGACGAGUGGCGAACGGGUGAGUAAUACAUCGGAACGUGCCUAGUAGUGGGGGAUAACUACUCGAAAGAGUGGCUAAUACCGCAUGAGAUCUACGGAUGAAAGCAGGGGAUCGCAAGACCUUGUGCUACUAGAGCGGCCGAUGGCAGAUUAGGUAGUUGGUGGGAUAAAAGCUUACCAAGCAGACGAUCUGUAGCUGGUCUGAGAGGACGAUCAGCCACACUGGGACUGAGACACGGCCCAGACUCCUACGGGAGGCAGCAGUGGGGAAUUUUGGACAAUGGGCGAAAGCCUGAACCAGCAAUGCCGCGUGCAGGAUGAAGGCCUUCGGGUUGUAAACUGCUUUUGUACGGAACGAAAAGCCCCGGGUUAAUGCCCUGGGGUCAUGACGGUACCGUAAGAAUAAGCACCGGCUAACUACGUGCCAGCAGCCGCAGUAA
rnacentral:rRNA from 1 species